rnacentral:tRNA from 1 species
GCGGGUAUCGUAUAACGGUUAUUAUGUCACCUUGCCAAGGUGGAGAUGACGGUUCGAUUCCGUUUACCCGCU